rnacentral:rRNA from 1 species
GACGUAGGGCGCGAGCGUUGUCCGGAUUUAUUGGGCGUAAAGAGCUCGUAGGCGGCUUGUCGCGUCGUCUGUGAAAUCCCGCGGCUCAACCGCGGGUCUGCAGUCGAUACGGGCAGGCUAGAGUUCGGUAGGGGAGACUGGAAUUCCUGGUGUAGCGGUGAAAUGCGCAGAUAUCAGGAGGAACACCGGUGGCGAAGGCGGGUCUCUGGGCCGAUACUGACGCUGAGGAGCGAAAGCGUGGGGGGCGAACAGG